rnacentral:rRNA from 1 species
CCUACGGGAGGCAGCAGUAGGGAAUUUUGCGCAAUGGGCGAAAGCCUGACGCAGCAACGCCGCGUGAUCGAGACGCCCUUCGGGGUGUAAAGAUCUGUCAGUGGGGACGAAACUUGACGGUACCCACAGAUGAAGCACCGGCUAACUCCGUGCCAGCAGCCGCGGUAAUACGGGGGGCGCAAGCGUUGUCCGGAAUCAUUGGGCGGAAAGAGUGCGUAGGCGGCACGUAAAGUCUGGUGUUAAAGGCAGGGGCUCAACUUGUGAACGGCACUGGAUACUUGCGAGCUAGAAUGCGGUAGAGGUAAGGGGAAUUCCUGGUGUAGCGGUGAAAUGCUUAGAUAUCAGGAGGAACAUCGAUGGCGUAGGCACUUUACUGGGCCGUAAUUGACGCUGAGGAACGAAAGCCAGGGUAGCAAAUGGGAUUAGAUACCCUGGUAGUC